rnacentral:rRNA from 1 species
UACAGAGGGGGCAAGCGUUAUUCGGAAUUAUUGGGCGUAAAGGGCGCGUAGGCGGCCUGGCAAGUGGAAGGUGAAAUCCCUCGGCUUAACCGAGGAACUGCCCUCCAAACUGCUUGGCUUGAGUCCGGGAGAGGUGAGUGGAAUUCCCAGUGUAGCGGUGAAAUGCGUAGAUAUCAGGAAGAACACCCGUGGCGAAAGCGGCUCUCUGGAACGGUACUGACGCUGAGACGCGAAAGCGUGGGGAGCGAACAGG